rnacentral:SRP_RNA from 1 species
CCGUGCUAGGCGGGGAAUCAGCGGUGCCCUGUACCCGAAAUCCGCUUAGCGGGGCCGACUACCGUUCUGAGGGACUGGCCGUCGGGGUCAGUGCGUCGUGGCGGCGUUGACGGCCGGGUCCUGUGCGACGUGGGCACGCGAAUCAGGUCAGGUCCGGAAGGAAGCAGCCUUAAGCGGAUGCCGCGGGUGCCACAGGAGAGCCCGACCCGAGCCUCAAGCGACGGACACGCCCGGUGACCUUGUUUCGAGGGGCGGGUGCACGG